GCAACCUGCCCCGAAGACCGGGAUAACCCCGGGAAACCGGAGCUAAUACCGGAUACCCCCACCGGUUCACAUGGCCUGGCGAGGAAAUGGAUUCCGCUUCGGGAGGGGCUCGCGGCCUAUCAGCUUGUUGGUGGGGUAACGGCCCACCAAGGCUUCGACGGGUAGCUGGUCUGAGAGGACGAUCAGCCACACUGGGACUGAGACACGGCCCAGACUCCUACGGGAGGCAGCAGUGGGGAAUCUUGCGCAAUGGGCGAAAGCCUGACGCAGCAACGCCGCGUGGGGGACGAAGGCCUUCUGGGUUGUAAACCCCUUUCAGCAGGGACGAUUAUGACGGUACCUGCAGAAG
rnacentral:rRNA from 1 species